UACAGAGGUCCCCGAGCGUUUGUUCGGAUUCACUGGGCGUAAAGGGUGCGUAGGCGUCUUCUAAGUCAGUUGUGAAAUACUUCAGCUUAACUGGAGAGGUGCAAUUGAUACUGGAAGACUUUAGUACUGAUAGGUAGGCGGAAUGGACGGUGUAGCGGUGAAAUGCUUAGAUAUCGUCCAGAACACCGAUAGCGAAGGCAGCUUACUAAGGAGUAACUGACGCUGAGGCACGAAAGUG
rnacentral:rRNA from 1 species